UUGUGUGACAUCCUAGUUGACCUUAAUCUUGGAGAGAAUUCUUUGUCUGGCAAAAUUCGCGACACAUUUGGCUCCCUUUUGAUGCUGAAUUGACUCAAUGUAUCUUAUAACAUGAUCUCUCGUGAAAUCCCUGAUGCAUUGCAGUCACUGAGGCUAAGCUAUAUUGAUUUCUCUCGCAACAAUUUGUCUGGACCAGUCCCUCCCCAGCUCCUGAUCAUUGUUGGAGAUGAUGCAUUCUCUGAAAACUGCGAGCUUUGUGUCACUGGCGCAAUCUUGCCAAUGGAUUGA
rnacentral:rRNA from 1 species